CUGUCUGAGUACUAUAUAAUAGUUAAAACUUUCAACAACGGAUCUCUUGGUUCUGGCAUCGAUGAAGAACGCAGCGAAAUGCGAUAAGUAAUGUGAAUUGCAGAAUUCAGUGAAUCAUCGAAUCUUUGAACGCACAUUGCGCCCCCUGGUAUUCCGGGGGGCAUGCCUGUCCGAGCGUCAUUACAACCCUCAAGCUCAGCUUGGUAUUGGGCCCCGCCGACCCGGCGGGCCCUAAAGUCAGUGGCGGUGCCGUCCGGCUCCGAGCGUAGUAAUUCUUCUCGCUCUGGAGGUCCGGUCGUGUGCUCGCCAGCAACCCCCAAUUUUUUUCAGGUUGACCUCGGAUCAGGUAGGGAUACCCGCUGAACUUAAGCAUAUCAAUAAGCGGAGGAAAAGAAACCAACAGGGAUUACCUCAGUAACGGCGAGUGAAGCGGUAACAGCUCAAAUUUGAAAUCUGGCCUCACGGUCCGAGUUGUAAUUUGUAGAGGAUGCUUCGAGCAUGGUCUGGCCUAAGUUCCUUGGAACAGGACGUCAUAGAGGGUGAGAAUCCCGUAUGCGGCCAGGUGCCUACGCUCAUGUGAAGCUCCUUCGACGAGUCGAGUUGUUUGGGAAUGCAGCUCAAAAUGGGUGGUAAAUUUCAUCUAAAGCUAAAUAUUGGCCAGAGACCGAUAGCGCACAAGUAGAGUGAUCGAAAGAUGAAAAGCACUUUGGAAAGAGAGUUAAACAGUACGUGAAAUUGUUGAAAGGGAAGCGCUUGCAACCAGACUUGCGCGCGGCCGAUCAUCCGGUGUUCUCACCGGUGCACUCGGCCGUGCUCAGGCCAGCAUCGGUUUUGGCGGCUGGAUAAAGGCCCUAGGAAUGUGGCUCCUCUCGGGGAGUGUUAUAGCCUAGGGUGCAAUGCAGCCUGCUGGGACCGAGGACCGCGCUCGGCUAGG
rnacentral:rRNA from 1 species